rnacentral:rRNA from 1 species
GAUGAACGCUGGCGGCGUGCCUAAUACAUGCAAGUCGAGCGAACAGACGAGGAGCUUGCUCCUCUAACGUUAGCGGCGGACGGGUGAGUAACACGUGGAUAACCUACCUAUAAGACUGGGAUAACUUCGGGAAACCGGAGCUAAUACCGGAUAAUAUAUUGAACCGCAUGGUUCAAUAGUGAAAGACGGUUUUGCUGUCACUUAUAGAUGUAUCCGCGCCGCAUUAGCUAGUUGGUAAGGUAACAGCUUACCAAGGCAACGAUGCGUAGCCGACCUGAGAGGGUGAUCGGCCACACUGGAACUGAGACACGGUCCAGACUCCUACGGGAGGCAGCAGUAGGGAAUCUUCCGCAAUGGGCGAAAGCCUGACGGAGCAACGCCGCGUGAGUGAUGAAGGUCUUCGGAUCGUAAAACUCUGUUAUUAGGGAAGAACAAAUGUGUAAGUAACUAUGCACGUCUUGACGGUACCUAAUCAGAAAGCCACGGCUAACUACGUG